rnacentral:rRNA from 1 species
CAGCCCGCGGGAAUACGGAGGGGGCUAGCGUUGUUCGGAAUUACUGGGCGUAAAGCGCACGUAGGCGGCUUGGUAAGUUAGAGGUGAAAGCCCGGAGCUCAACUCCGGAAUUGCCUUUAAGACUGCCGAGCUAGCAGGUGAGAGAGGUAAGUGGAAUUCCGAGUGUAGAGGUGAAAUUCGUAGAUAUUCGGAAGAACACCAGUGGCGAAGGCGGCUUACUGGCUCAUACUGGACGCUGAGGUGCGAAAGCGUGGGGAGCAAACAGGAUUAGAUACCCGAGUAGUCCCUGUCUCUUAUACAC